AUUGAACGCUGGCGGCAGGCCUAACACAUGCAAGUCGAGCGGAUGACGGGAGCUUGCUCCUUGAUUCAGCGGCGGACGGGUGAGUAAUGCCUAGGAAUCUGCCUGGUAGUGGGGGACAACGUUUCGAAAGGAACGCUAAUACCGCAUACGUCCUACGGGAGAAAGCAGGGGACCUUCGGGCCUUGCGCUAUCAGAUGAGCCUAGGUCGGAUUAGCUAGUUGGUGGGGUAAUGGCUCACCAAGGCGACGAUCCGUAACUGGUCUGAGAGGAUGAUCAGUCACACUGGAACUGGGACCCGGUCCAGACUCCUACGGGGGGCAGCAGUGGGGAAUAUUGGACAAUGGGCGAAAGCCUGAUCCAGCCAUGCCGCGUGUGUGAAGAAGGUCUUCGGAUUGUAAAGCACUUUAAGUUGGGAGGAAGGGCAGUAAGCUAAUACCUUGCUGUUUUGACGUUACCGACAGAAUAAGCACCGGCUAACUCUGUGCCAGCCGCCGCCGUAAAAC
rnacentral:rRNA from 1 species